GGUUGCACGCACCGGCCGGCCCGCCCCCCGAUUGGCUGGCGGCUCCCGCCCCCCCAACAUGGCGGCGCCCGGUGAAGGUGUGGGCUGCGAGGACUUUGCCGAGUUCCAGGAGUUGCUCAGGGUGAUGAGGACAAUUGAUGACAGGAUAGUCCAUGAAUUAAAUACUACACUUCCAACAGCUUCCUUUGCAGGGAAAAUCGAUGCCAAGCAAACCUGUCAAGAGCUCUACGAAUCUCUGAUGGAGGCUCAUACCAGCAGGGAGAUGAUGAUCAAAACUUGCAUUGCUCAGACUUCCAAUGUAGUAAAAGCUCUCCAACAAGAGAGGGAGAAGGCUGAGAAUGAUAUAGCAUUGUUAAAGCAACUCAGAAAAGAGCAGACGAAGUUGAAAUUGAUGCAAUCAGAGUUGAAUGUUGAAGAAGUGGUGAAUGACAGAAGCUGGAAGGACAAAACCAGAAACUGACUCUGUUAAAUGCUAACAAGGCAGAAUCAGACUAACCAGGCAGAACUGGUUUUCACCAUUGUCAGAAAAGUAUUUAACGAGCGCUGCAGAGUUCACUACAAGCCUCCAAAGAGCCAGUGAUGCAAGGAUGUUUCCCAUGAAGGUGGUCUACAAUCAUGACCAAAGUUGGAAGACAUUGGGCAAACUGUAUGGGACCUUUCUGGAACCAGUAGAACCCAGUCUCAUUUUGUUUUCACUUAGCUGGAAUCUUAAGUUUAAAUGAUUCUCUUAAUUGAGAGAAACCAACUUCUGUUUUGUACAAAAUGUGUGAAACCACUUUUAUAACUAAUAAAAUGAUUUUCAGAUGGGA